rnacentral:rRNA from 1 species
AUUGAACGCUGGCGGCAUGCUUUACACAUGCAAGUCGAACGGCAGCGCGGGCUUCGGCCUGUCGGCGAGUGGCGAACGGGUGAGUAAUGCAUCGGAACGUGCCCAUGAGUGGGGGAUAGCGCGGCGAAAGCCGGAUUUAUACCGCAUACGACCUGAGGGUGAGAGCGGGGGACCGAAAGGCCUCGCGCUAUUGGAGCGGCCGAUGUCGGAUUAGCUAGUUGGUGGGGUAAAGGCUUACCAAGGCGACGAUCCGUAGCUGGUCUGAGAGGACGACCAGCCACACUGGGACUGAGACACGGCCCAGACUCCUACGGGAGGCAGCAGUGGGGAAUUUUGGACAAUGGGGGCAACCCUGAUCCAGCCAUGCCGCGUGCGGGAAGAAGGCCUUCGGGUUGUAAACCGCUUUUGUUCGGGAAGAAAUCCUCUGGGCUAAUACCCCGGGGGGAUGACGGUACCGGAAGAAUAAGCACCGGCUAACUACGUG